CCCUUAGAUGUCCUGGGCCGCACGCGCGCUACACUGACAUGUUCAACAAGCCUCCUAGUUCGACAGGAUUUGGGAAAUCUUUGAACGCAUGUCGUGAUAGGGAUAGAUCAUUGCAAUUAUUGAUCUUGAACGAGGAAUUCCUAGUAAACGCGAGUCAUCAGCUCACAUUGAUUACGUCCCUGCCCUUUGUACACACCGCCCGUCGCACCUACCGAUUGAAUGUUUCGGUGAAGAUUCCGGAUAGGACUUUUUUGAUUUAUUUCAAUUUUGUCUUAAAAGCUAUCUAAACCUCAACAUUUAGAGGAAGGUGAAGUCGUAACA
rnacentral:rRNA from 1 species